AAUCAACGCUGGCGGCGUGCCUCAGACAUGCAAGUCGAACGCGAAAGUUUCCUUCGGGGAACAAGUAGAGUGGCGCACGGGUGAGUAACACGUAGGUAAUCUACCUUCGGAUGGGGAAUAACAAUCGGAAACGGUUGCUAAUACCGCAUAAUGCAGCGGCACCUAAUGGUGACAGUUGUUAAAGCGGGGGAUCGAAAGACCUCGCGUCUGAAGAGGAGCCUGCGGCGGAUUAGCUAGUUGGUAAGGUAACGGCUUACCAAGGCUACGAUCCGUANCCGGCCUGAGAGGGCGGUCGGCCACACUGACACUGACAUACGGGUCAGACUCCUACGGGAGGCAGCAGUCGGGAAUUUUGGGCAAUGGGCGAAAGCCUGACCCAGCAACGCCGCGUGAAGG
rnacentral:rRNA from 1 species